GUCUACGGCCAUGCCACCCUGAACAAGCCCAAUCCCGUCUGAUCUCAGAAGCUAAACAGGUUAGUACUUGGAUGGGGGACCACCUAGGAAGACCAGGGGCUGUAGGCG
rnacentral:rRNA from 1 species